UGCAGUCGAGCGGAUGAGGGGAGCUUGCUCCCUGAUUCAGCGGCGGACGGGUGAGUAAUGCCUAGGAAUCUGCCUGGUAGUGGGGGACAACGUUUCGAAAGGAACGCUAAUACCGCAUACGUCCUACGGGAGAAAGCAGGGGACCUUCGGGCCUUGCGCUAUCAGAUGAGCCUAGGUCGGAUUAGCUAGUUGGUGGGGUAAAGGCUCACCAAGGCGACGAUCCGUAACUGGUCUGAGAGGAUGAUCAGUCACACUGGAACUGAGACACGGUCCAGACCCCUACGGGAGGCAGCAGUGGGGAAUAUUGGACAAUGGGCGAAAGCCUGAUCCAGCCAUGCCGCGUGUGUGAAGAAGGUCUUCGGAUUGUAAAGCACUUUAAGUUGGGAGGAAGGGCAUUAACCUAAUACGUUAGUGUUUUGACGUUACCGACAGAAUAAGCACCGGCUAACUUCGUGCCAGCAGCCGCGGUAAUACGAAGGGUGCAAGCGUUAAUCGGAAUUACUGGGCGUAAAGCGCGCGUAGGUGGUUCAGCAAGUUGGAUGUGAAAGCCCCGGGCUCAACCUGGGAACUGCAUCCAAAACUACUGAGCUAGAGUAUGGUAGAGGGUGGUGGAAUUUCCUGUGUAGCGGUGAAAUGCGUAGAUAUAGGAAGGAACACCAGUGGCGAAGGCGACCACCUGGACUGAUACUGACACUGAGGUGCGAAAGCGUGGGGAGCAAACAGGAUUAGAUACCCUGGUAGUCCACGCCGUAAACGAUGUCAACUAGUUGUUGGGUUCCUUGAGAACUUAGUAACGAAGCUAACGCGAUAAGUUGACCGCCUGGGGAGUACGGCCGCAAGGUUAAAACUCANAUGAAUUGACGGG
rnacentral:rRNA from 1 species